GUCCAUGUUUAAGGAAGCGUUGAAGGUCACGUCACUCAAAGCCAACAUCAGCAGGCAUCCUACCAAGAUAAUCUCUGAAGAGGUCAGAGGCACAAUUAUUACAAUUUAUUGUGGACAGGAAAACACAUGGAUGUUGAAUACCAGUUCCUGUGAAAGAUACUUGGGUUUCGGGAUAACAACAGUCCCAAGUCUUCAGAACAAAUCAACAGAAUUCAAUCAAGUAUUUCCUUGCACUUACUUGUUAUGACUUCUUAGUCUCUCCAGUCUGUGACAGUUACUCAUUUUCUCCCUGAUACAAGGACUACAACACUUUGGAAGGUGCUUGUCAGAAAUUUAUUCUCCUUAUAUACAUUCCUACACACAUGUGGAUGCUUUUAUUGAAACCAGUUCAUAGGGUGCAGCACCUCGCCCUGCUCUCGCUUCUUCCUUCUCCAGCCAUGUACGACAUGCCUGCUUCCCCUUUGCCUUCUGCCAUGAUUAUGUUUCCUGAGGCCUCCCCAG
rnacentral:lncRNA from 1 species